rnacentral:rRNA from 1 species
UACGUAGGCAGCGAGCGUUGUUCGGAGUUACUGGGCGUAAAGGGUGUGUAGGCGGUUGUUUAAGUUUGGUGUGAAAUCUCCCGGCUCAACUGGGAGGGUGCGCCGAAUACUGAAUGACUAGAGUACGGGAGAGGAAAGUGGAAUUCCUGGUGUAGCGGUGAAAUGCACAGAGUAUCAGGAAGAACACCCGUGGCUAAGGCGGCUCUCUAGUACGGUACUGACGCUGAGACGCGAAAGCGUGGGGAGCGAACAGG